GUGUCAGCAGCCGCGGUAAGACGAACCGUGCGAACGUUGUUCGGAUUCACUGGGCUUAAAGGGCGCGUAGGCGGCUUGCCAAGUCAGGGGUGAAAUCUUUCGGCUCAACCGGAAAAGUGCCUUUGAUACUGGCGAGCUAGAGGGAGGUAGGGGUGCGUGGAACUUCUGGUGGAGCGGUGAAAUGCGUAGAUAUCAGAAGGAACGCCGGUGGCGAAAGCGACGCACUGGAUCUCUACUGACGCUGAGGCGCGAAAGCCAGGGGAGCGAACGGGAUUAGAUACCCCGGUAGUCCUGGCCCUAAACGAUGGGUACUAGGUUGUAGACUUGACAUGGGUUUACAGCCGAAGCAAAAGUGUUAAGUACCCCGCCUGGGGAGUAUGGUCGCAAGGCUGAA
rnacentral:rRNA from 1 species